rnacentral:rRNA from 1 species
AUUGAACGCUGGCGGCAGGCCUAACACAUGCAAGUCGAGCGAGCGGCGGACGGGUGAGUAAUGUAUGGGGAUCUGCCCAGUAGCGGGGGAUAACUACUCGAAAGAGUGGCUAAUACCGUAUACUAUUGGAGCGGCCGAUAUCGGAUUAGCUAGUUGGUGGGGUAAAGGCUCAACAAGGCAACGAUCCGUAGCUGAUUUGGGAGGACGACCAGCCCCACUGGGACGGAACAGCGGCCCAGACUCAUCUGAGAGGCAGCAGUGGGGAAUUUUGGACAAUGGAGGAAACCCUGAUCCAACACUCCCGCGUGUAUUAGAAAGGCUUCGGGUUGUAAAGUACAUUUGGCAGAGAAGCGGUAUCUGCAGAAUAAGCACCGGCUAACUACGUGCCAGCAGCCGCGGUAAUAC